rnacentral:rRNA from 1 species
GACGAACGCUGGCGGCGUGCUUAACACAUGCAAGUCGAACGGAAAGGCCCUGCUCUUGCGGGGUGCUCGAGUGGCGAACGGGUGAGUAACACGUGAGUAACCUGCCCUUGACUUUGGGAUAACUUCAGGAAACUGGGGCUAAUACCGGAUAGGAGCUCCUGCUGCAUGGGGGGGGAUGGAAAGUUUCGGCGGUUGGGGAUGGACUCGCGGCUUAUCAGCUGGUUGGUGGGGUAGUGGCUUACCAAGGCUUUGACGGGUAGCCCGCCUGAGAGGGUGACCGGGCACAUUGGGCCUGAGAUAGGGACCAGACUCGUACGGGAGGCAGAAGUGGGGAAUAUUGCGCAGUGGGCGGGAGCCUGAUGCAGCGGCGCCGCGUGCGGGAUGACGGCCUUCGGGUUGUAAACCGAUUUCGCCUGUGACGAGGCGUGAGUGACGGUAAUGGGUCAAGAAGCACCGGCUAACUACGUG